AGGCAGGGGUGGGGAGUAUUGUUCAGUGGAUGGGAGUCUGACCCGGCGAUGCCGGGUGGGGGAAGAAGGUCAGGUGGGUGGGAAACUGAUUUUAUCGGGGGAGAAUAGGUUUGUUGAGUGGGAGUGUGAGGGUGCGGGAUGAAUAAGCCACGGCUAGCUCCGUGCCAGCAGGCGCGGUAAU
rnacentral:rRNA from 1 species